rnacentral:misc_RNA from 1 species
UCUCCGUAGGUGAACCUGCGGAGGGAUCAUUACAGAGCUCAUGCCCUACCGGGUAGAUCUCCCACCCUAUGUUAUUAUUACUUUGUUGCUUUGGCGGGCCGUUAGGCUCCGGCCCGACUACCGGCCCCGGCUGGUAAGAGCCCGCCAGAGGACCCAAAACCCUGAAUAUUAGUAUCGUCUAAGUACUAUAUAAUAGUUAAAACUUUCAACAACGGAUCUCUUGGUUCUG